rnacentral:rRNA from 1 species
GACGAACGCUGGCGGCGUGCUUAACACAUGCGAGUCGAACGGAAAGGCCCUGCUUUUGUGGGGUGCUCGAGUGGCGAACGGGUGAGUAACACGUGAGUAACCUGCCCUUGACUUUGGGAUAACUUCAGGAAACUGGGGCUAAUACCGGAUAGGAGCUCCUGCUGCAUGGUGGGGGUUGGAAAGUUUCGGCGGUUGGGGAUGGACUCGCGGCUUAUCAGCUUGUUGGUGGGGUAGUGGCUUACCAAGGCUUUGACGGGUAGCCGGCCUGUGAGGGUGACCGGCCACAUUGGGACUGAGAUACGGCCCAGACUCCUACGGGAGGCAGCAGUGGGGAAUAUUGCACAAUGGGCGGAAGCCUGAUGCAGCAACGCCGCGUGCGGGAUGACGGCCUUCGGGUUGUAAACCGCUUUCGCCUGUGACGAAGCGUGAGUGACGGUAAUGGGUAAAGAAGCACCGGCUAACUACGUG